rnacentral:lncRNA from 1 species
UAGUCAAUGAGUUAUACUUGACAAAAGGUUGGACAAUGACAAUAAAGUUAGGUACUAUAAAAAAUGGAGCCCAUAGUUGAUGAACUCCAAUAUAUGCAUAAAGACAUAUAGACUUGUUGGAUAAGGUACAGGAUUUCAUGCAUGAAUUUUAAAACUUUUUUUAAAAUAUAACGCAGCGAAACAUGUAAAUUAAAUAAUUUAAUCUAUAAAUGUA